CACAUUCAGAUUAGUUACACUUCAAAAGCUUAACCGCCACACAAGAUGAGUGGCUACCAUAUCGGACAAGGCAGUGCUACCCUUCCACUGAGAGACAGAGUACACAGAUGGACAACGGUGAGACCAUAUAUAACAAUAUAUUCUGACCACACAAGAAGCCCAGGAAGCCAAGCCACAUCUGCAUCAAUUGUGCAGCAAGGGUCUUAUCUAGGAUGUGAAUUUCAUUGGAAAGCUGGCUGUCUUGAAAAGGAGAGAAGAGACGAGGAAGAAAAACUAGACUCAGAGGACCAACAGCAUUUUCAUUCGUGAACAGUUCAGAUUAACUCAUAAACAACGGAAACAUUCCAUGACUGAGUGAUGGCACUCAGCCGGCUGUCCUUUGGAAGAAACUGGCCCAAUCAGGACCUGAAAUCAGGAGCUAGAAUGCCUCCCUCAUUCCUCACUAUCGUCUCCUCUCUGACCAGAUUUGUUCUUCGAAG